GAGGCGUGCAAGGGCUGUCGCUGACUUUUAACGCAAAAGUCGUGCACGCCGGAGCGUGUCCUCUCACAUAAAAUCCAUCUCACCCUUUUGUGCACCACCGCGUGGGCACCCUUCGGGAUCAAACCGAUCCCGGAGGGGGCUUGCGUUUUCACACAAACCCCUUCUUAAAAGUGUAGAAUGUCCCCAUUUUUGCGAUAACACGCAAUCAAUACAACUUUCAACAACGGAUCUCUUGGCUCUCGCAUCGAUGAAGAACGCAGCGAAAUGCGAUACGUAAUGUGAAUUGCAGAAUUCAGUGAAUCAUCGAAUCUUUGAACGCACCUUGCGCCCCUUGGUAUUCCGAGGGGCACACCCGUUUGAGUGUCGUGAAAAUCUCAACCUUCUCGGUUUCUUCUGGACACCGAAGGAGGCUUGGACUUUGGAGGCCUUUGCUGGCGUCUCUCUCUCUUGAGAGAGCCAGCUCCUCUUAAAUGAAUUAGCGGGGUCCUCUUUGCUGGUCCUCGACAUGUGAUAAGAUGUUUCCGUGUCUUGGUUUCUGGCUCUGUUGCCUUUGGGACCCGCUUCUAACCGUCUCAACGAGACAACGUUUGAGCGCGUCUCCCUUCUCGGGAGACCCUCUCAACCUCACGAACCCUUGA
rnacentral:rRNA from 1 species